AUUUAUUUUUAUAUAAGGAUUAUUAUUCUAAAUAUUAUACUCUCUGACUCAUUUUACCUAUCUUUUUAAUUUUAUACAUAAUUUUAUGCAUAAUUUUAUAUAUUAUUAGUAUAUACUAGCUUUUAAUUUAUUUUUUUUUUUUUUUUUUUUUUUUUUUUUAAAUUAAUUGAUUAACUAUAUAUAAGUGGCUAAUUGUAAAUUUUUGCUAAAAUGGUAUACGCUACUUUACUAAGUGAAGAAGAUUUAAGUCGUUUUCGUACGAAGCAAUGUAGGAGAUUAUUGAACGAAGGUUGUAAUUUUGGGUUAGACCGAUGUCAAUAUAGCCAUAAUGAAUUUUGGAAUAGAAGAUGCCCCUAUUAUUUAAGUGAUUCUUCUUUUAUCCGUUACAUAACAAUUAUGUGUCCAAAUGUUGAAACAGAAGCAGACGGUACAAUUAAUAGUUUAUGUUUGAGAGGAGGUGAAUGUCCAUAUGCUCAUUCGUUAGAAGAAAUAUUAUACCACCCACUUUUUUACAAAACUAAACGAUGUGAAGAUUAUAAAAAAGGAUCGUGUAAUACGUAUUAUUGUCCUUAUGUUCAUGGCUUAGCUGAAAUGAGAUUACCAGGUACAUAUAAAUUGCCAUUUACUAACGGUUUAGACCUUCCCAAAGUUGAUAAUGUUAUAAUAGUAGAUAAGAUUGAUAUAAAUCAUAAAACAAAUAAUAACACAUUUAAUGAAAAAAAUAUACUAAAUAGUUUUGUAUUAAAAAAAAAAAAUGGUGAUAAUGUACAACGUAAUGAAUUGACAAACUCUAAUAUACAUGGUAAUAAUAAUAAUAAUAAUAAUAACAAUAAUAAUAAUAAUAAUAAUAAAAAUAAUUAUAUGCCAUCUCCAAUACAAAACAAUAAUAUAUAUGCUUUUAUGGAUCCAUUAACAAAUGAAAGUGGAAUAAAUAAAAACAACACACAAAGAUUUUCAUUACCCACUAAAAAUGAAUAUACAUUAAAUUAUUCCCAUGAAUCUAAUACUGUUCCUGUAAUUAAUAAUUUAAUCACAGGUGAUGCUAUAAAAUUUCAUUCGUUUUCUGGUAGUUAUAACACUAAUAAUAAUAUUACACUUAACAACAAUAGCGUAUUUAAUAGUAGCAAUUUUAAUAACAAUGGAUUUAAUAAUGUUGAUAAUUUUUCAAAUAAUAAAACAAAAAAUCAUAUUAAUGCAUUUAUUAGCAAUCGCUUUAGACAAGACUUACUUAAAGAUGGAUUAGUUCAUGAUAUUGAUGAUAGUAUUAACCAUAAUAACACUAGUAAUAGUAGUAAUAACAACAGUAACAAUAAAAGCUACAAUAUUUUAAACCAAUUAAAAGAAAACUUAUUUCAACAAUAUAAUGAAAAUAAUCACACUAAUAUAACUAAUACAAAAUUAUCUAACAUACAUAGCGAAAAAUAUAACGAAUUUAAUAAUAUGAAACUUAAUGAAUGGACAAAUAUAUCAAAUAAUAGUAACUUACGGGAAAUAAAAAAAAAUUCAUAUGGUAAUAAUUCUAUUAAUAUAAUUAAUAACACUCAUAGAGAUACUACUUAUGUUAAAAAUAAUUUUAAUUUAAUUGGAAAUAAACAAAACUUUUCAAGUUGUAGUACAACACCUUAUGAAUUUUAUUUUAACGAACAAGAGGAAGGGACAAAUAACGAAUUGAUGGAUGAAGAUUAUUAUUUAGAUAAUGAAGAUGAUCAAGAUACAUCUUUUACUUUGAAUAAAAAUAGUGUAUAUGAAUCAUUAAUAGAUAAUAAUGACUUAAGUUGUAAUUUGAAAAAUACGAAAUCUGAAACAAUUCAUGGUAACUCUAUUGCUAAUGUUAGUACCAAUCCUAAUACAAAUACCAAUACCUGUGCCAAUAAUAGUACUAAUACCUGUGCCAAUAAUAGUACCAAUACCAAUACCAGUUAUAAUACCAAUGCCA
ensembl:lncRNA